rnacentral:rRNA from 1 species
UACGUAGGGGGCAAGCGUUGUCCGGAAUCAUUGGGCGUAAAGCGCGUGUAGGCGGUUACGUAAGUCUGCUGUGAAAGUCGGAGGCUCAACCUUCGAAAGCCGGUGGAUACUGCGUGACUAGAGUACGGAAGAGGAGAGUGGAAUUCCUGGUGUAGCGGUGAAAUGCGCAGAUAUCAGGAGGAACACCAACGGCGAAGGCAGCUCUCUGGGACGUUACUGACGCUGAGACGCGAAAGCGUGGGGAGCAAACAGG